ensembl:processed_transcript
GAUUCAUAGAACCGAACGGACACGACUCGACCUGCAGGCAACGGCUCUCCUAAUUUGAAAUUCACCUGUCGUCUUUCAUCCAGCGAAUUCAUCCUCGCACAACACUGAGAUGAAGGCGAAGUCACCAUGAAAAGUUAAACGUUUAAAGGUAAGCUCUGGUCUUUACAUAGUCAUUAUGACUAAGCUAUUAUUAUGGUAAAAUUUUUCAACUGUAAGUUAGUUAUUUAAACUAAACUCAUAAUGAAAUGAGUCUUAACUGUUUUAUUAAAUGGAGCUGAAAAUUAAAUGCAGUUGAAUUAUUUUAAGCUAAAGUUAAUAUUAACAAAAUACAUAUUAAUUGUCUGUUUCUCAAUAAUGUUAAUGAGCUUGAUGUAUAGUGUGUCAU